rnacentral:rRNA from 1 species
AUCGGGAAUUUUGCACAAUGGACGAAAGUCUGAUGCAGCGACGCCGCAUGAAGGAUGAAGGCCUUCGGGUUGUAAACUUCUGUAAAUAGCACCGGCUAACUACGUGCCAGCAGCAGCGGUCAUACGUAGGGUGCAAGCAUUAUCCGGAUUUACUGGGCGUAAAGAGUUCUGUAGGCGGUAGUAUAAGUCGAAGGUUAAAUCUCCGAGCUCAACUCGGAAACUGCUUUCGAUACUGUAUUACUAGAGAUAUCUAGGGGGUAGCAGAACCUAUGGUGAAGCAGUGAAAUGCGUUGAUAUCAUAGGGAAUACCAAGGGGGAAGCCAGCUACCUGGGGAUAUUCUGACGCUGAGAGACGAAAGCGUGGGGAGCAAAACGGAUUAGAUACCCCUGUAGUCC